rnacentral:rRNA from 1 species
CGUGAAACUUUACUGUAGCUUGUUACUGCGUUGUAUGUUUUGAUGUGCAGUGUAGGUGGGAGUUGCUAAAGCGUAGACGCCAGUUUACGUGUAGACGACAAUGAAACACCACCCUUCGAA